ensembl:lncRNA
AUGGAGAUAACGCAGGUCUACUCCACCCGACGCUCCAUCCGCUACAGCAGCAGGGGACAAGGCCGCGCUCUAAGCGUCCCUCUGCUGCCGGGAUUAGAAACUGUGGACAGCUGCAUGCUUCCCCCCUGCACCGAAGAAGAAAACUCGAACGCUCUACAGUACCGAUCAGUUAGACCACUUAGAGGCCUUGUUCCAGGGGGGACCACUAUCCUGACGCAGAGAAGAGGAAAGUCAUCGCGGCUUCAGUUGGUGUCACACCUCAAAGGAUUAUGGUCUGGUUCCAGAACCGCCGGGCAAAGUGGAGGAAGGCGGAGCGCUCCAACACUGCAAGGGUUGAACACCGACAGAGCAAAGCUGGAUGCAGCAGCAGCCCCACACGUCACCACAUCAAUCCCACCCUGCCCUCACUGGCCCCCAACAGUAAGGGACCUUGUUUUUCCAGUCACUGUGCCACUAGGCUGCCCCAACCCGCCCCAGCAGCACCUGUUUUCCCCAACCUGACCAACCAGACUCCACCCCCCUACAGCAACCUUCUGGCAAGCCUCAACAGCCCAGGUCAACUCAGAGGGAGGGACGUUGGCCAGCUUGCCCCUCAGGGGGGGUUGGCAGAGUACCACCCCAUGCCGAGCCCUCCCCCCUUGCGUCGAGCCAGUCUCCCUAUUUUCCCAACGGCUUACAACCCUGCAAACCCAACUCCUCCUCCUCCGCCACCACCUCAUCUCCUUAAAACACGGGCUCACACCCCACCUCUGUUUCUGGACGCUCUGGAGGGGGGCUCCGCAUUGCCACACCGCGACGCCCAGUCGCUGCAGACCGACACCUGUUCUCUCUUUGAGUUUGGGGAGAAGUUUGACUUCUUGACCUCAGGCCAGCAGAACAACCCCCUCUCCUACCAGCUGCAGACCUCAUACUCCUCCACCCAGCACCAACCUCAAGCAUCUCUGCCCUGCAUGACCUACCUCACCCCCUCCCCCUACCUCCCCCCCAACCCUCCAGAAACCAACCCGACCUCGUACCUGACCUUUGGCCCCGGAGGGAACUCCACUGGGAUGGUGACCUACUCGACCGGAGGCCACGCGUACUUUCAGUCGCAGAGCACCGGACAAAUACUUCUGCAGUCGGCCGGUCAUCACGGGGGGAUCGCCGCGUACCAGUCGUACCCGUGGGGCAGCAUGUACAGUCAACCAGCCCUCCACCAGCGGACUCCGUGCCCUCCAAUUUACCCCGGCAGCUUGGAAGGUGCUCGAGAUCACCAGCCCUCCUCCACCACCCUGCUUCCGCCUUCCUUCUUCGCCCAGGGGGAUCAGGGCUCCUCGCAUGCAAACCCUGAAUGCUCCUCUCACAACCAUACGCACAACUCCACCACCAGCAGCACCAGCAGCAGCACCGUCCUCCCCCCAGUGUCCUCCCUGCGGCCUUCUCGCCUCCGAGCAGAGAUCACUCCAGCCAAAGCUGCCUCCCUGCUGUCUUCUCAGGUCAGCCCUGCCUCUCCAGACAGCUCUCCGGGGCCCCCUGGUGCCAAAAUGGAGUAUGACAGCCCUCGAGAGAUUCCCAGCCACUUCCACUGCGAAUUCUCCCCCAUACACUUUUGAAUACAUGCAUGUUUGUGUGAGAGAGUGUGAUCAAGGUAUUGGUGUUGAUAUAUCCUGUGUAAAUGGGAGUAUUUCUGUAUUUGUAUUACUGUUAGGAUGUCGUUAGUAGAAAUAUUAUAAGUUGCCUGGGCUGCAUUUAGCUCGGCUGCAAUAAAUGCACAUUGUUCUGUCGAUAUUUUUUUACUUUUGCGUUAAACUCUCUUGAUUUAAAUCAGCAGUCUCCAUCAUAUUAUUAUUCAACAUAUCAUUGCACCAGGGAACAGUGCUUUUAUUGAGUCAAUUUAGUUACCAGCCCGACCGAGGGGCGUGGGAGGUGGGUUAAUAGGCGAGUGUAAUUGUUUUCCUCAUCCCCAUCAGUAUAUCCACUUGUGUUCACAAAUCAUAAACAUUUUUAAUUAAGUUUUUUUAAUCCAGUCACACCCAUGAGCCUUGAUUACAGAAAAGAGUCUGCACAAUUAUGCAGACGUUACAGAAGUUUUACAUUAUAUAACUUUAUUAAAUCAACUAAAUGUCAAUAAGAAGAAAAAUAACUCACUGAAGUUGAAGGGUUAAUUUAGAAGCUUUGCUUUCAACAGCCCCGUAGUUAAUACCCUUUUUGUACAUGAUGAAAAAGUUCUGUAUAGUUACUACACAGAUGUAUACAGGCGUUUAAUAUAUUACACUAAAUUAUGAACUAUAGUUUUCUUCAAAUGUUACCAUUGAGUCUUGUUUGCUUAACAGUCCACGGCCCCGAGGCGGCUCACCGCUGACAUGCUGCUCAUUUGUCUUCAGGCCACUUGAGAGCGCUGUUUCGUCACGACAGACGACCGCCUGCCGGGAGCUAUUUUGACAGCAUGUCAGGUUCUCGGACGCGUGCAACAGUCACUGAUCCGGUGGAGGGGCGAGCGGGCCGAGUCCUCUCCAGAAUGGAGGUAUCAAUCGCUGAUACAACCCAAGUCCUUAAUCGCUGUUGCCAUUUGCGGCGUCCUCUUGUUUAUUCUCCUCCUCUUUAACGAGCAGAAGGCAUCUUUCUCUGAAACAAGCAGAGACGACGGAGACCAUCGUGGCAUUUCCCCUCUCAGUAGUGCAAGGAAAACCCCAAACGUUCCUGAUUUACCUCUAGUUAGUAUUCCUGUUUCGCGCCGCUGCUUUGUGUAAAGUAAAGAUUGAAGUAAAGCUUGGAUGACGAUGAUGUGGGAGGAAGAGAAGGAACUCUGGAGGAGGCAGGGACCAGGGGAGCAGAUGAAGGGGGGAGUGAGGAGGGAGGGGGGGGGUUCAGUGUGUCUCUGGGAACAAGGGAGGAGAGCCGAGAUGAGCUGUUGCUAUGGCAGGAGGAGAGGAUGAUGGUUGGGCUCUGCCAGCAGGCGUGGGAGGGGAGCAGAAGAUGGGGAUGAGGGAAGAGUGCUUGUAGCACGGGGGGGUUUUGGGAGGAACAGGACUGCUGGUUAUGUAACUGCUGU